UCUCUCUCUGUCUCUCUCUCUCUCUCUCUCUCUCUCUCUGCCCUACCGAUCCUUGUGCACAUGGGUGCAUUUUCUCUCUCUCUCUCAAAAUAAAUAAAUUAAAAAAAAAAAAAAAAAAAAACUAGGGGAGAGAGUUGGUUGGGGAAAGAGAAAGAGAAAAACUUGAAUUCUUAAACUGAUUGAACUUGAGAUAUCUGAACAUUCCCAGACGAAAGAAGUGUCCCUAACAUCAGACCAGAUGAAAACUACCGGAGCUUGGGACUAGAUGAGAAGAAAUGGGAAAGAAAAAAAUGAAGAGAGAAAAAAACACAAGUUAAACCAAUGAAGCAGGAACCAGAGAGAGCAGGUGGAGUCAAAACUGCAGCGGGGGAAACUGGAACAAUUUCCAAGAGGUUAGAGAGUGUGGAGCUGCAGACCGGUGUUGCUAGAUCAACUGUGUAUGGACACCUCGGCUACAGAGCCUCUUGUUUGUAAAUAUCCACUGGAUGGUUUUACUGGUCAGAUGCCUUCCACAUUUUAAUGGAAAAUACUUAAGAAGGUCUGCUCGAUAAGCUGCAUCAUUUGCUCACACUCAAAAGGGACCGAGAUGUGUCCAUCAAUAACAACUCACAUUGCAUU